UUUGUUUGUUUUAAACAUUUAGGUCAUUUGCUGGACUGGGGGUUUUCCCAGUGGUUAGUAUACUUGUUUGCUGCACAAUAUCUUAGGUUUGAUUUCCAGGAUUCCCAAAGGGAAAAUAAUUUAUUAAGGUCCUUUUUUCUGUCUUUUCUCCUUGCUGUACAGGAUGUCUCUCUCCCCUUGUCUUAACACACCAUUAUGUAAGUUUCUCAGCCAGGUGGACACAGUCAUGGUCCCAGAACCAAUCACCUUUCAGAAGAGGGCUGGGGAGGCAGUCUCAGGAGGCUUGAGUCAUCUUAGCUAUAAUUUUGCUGUCCGUUUUGGUGUUGGUGUUCAUAGUUUAUGCUAUAGCUACACACAUAUACACAAAAAUCAUAAGUGCUGGAGAGAUGGCUCAGCAGUUAGAAGUCUUGUCUUCCAGAGACAAGAGUUGGGUUCCCAGCACCCAACACCAGGCAGCACACAGCUACCUGCUGCUCCAGGUCCAGAGGAUCCAACACCUCUGAUCUCCAAGUACACGUGCACUCAUGUAUACAUAUCCACACAAUUAAAAAUAAAUCUCUUAAAAACUCACACAUGCAUAUAUUUAUAAUGCCAGUAAGAUGUUGAGAUAUAAAAGCACAUUUAUUUAUAUAUUUCAUAUUCUGGCUUAACGGUCAUUGUAAUAAUACAGGGCAGGUGUUAUUCUCAUUUUAUGCAUGUGAAAAUAAACAUAUGGAGAUGUGGCAGCUGAGGCUACAGAGAUCGGAAUGGUGCCUGACUGUCUCCCAAGCAAGCAACUUUUCCUCUCAAUGCUGUUAUUUCGCUGUCUGCCACAGAGACAGUUAUUUAACUCCUAGAUCAUUAUCUCAGAACUCGUGAUGAUGGGGAAAUGAUUUCAGGGCUAUUAUGGGAAUUAAAUGAGAGAUGCUUAGCUACCGCUGCCAUGCCUGCAAGCAGGAGGUACUCAGUCCACACCUCUAACCUGUGCUGCAACCACAGUGCUUCUCCUGCUCCAGAGGAGGCAGAGCCUGGGUUCUGAGGGUGGUGGACUCAGGGAGCUACCAUUCCUUCCAGCUGGGUUUGUACCUGAGGAUAUGGGUGACAACUAUGGCCACUGUAGCAGAAGCCAUCACUUCCACUCUUGAGUGCUAGGUCCUACAAGCCUUAGCAUUCAGCCUGUAUCUUACUAAGAGUAGUCAAUCUUCCUGAGACCCCCUCAGUAUAAGUCCAGAUGCAAAUAACAUCACUGCUCUUCAAGAGGACUCCAGGUGAGUCCCUUCCCAUUGCCUAGAACAGAGAGUACUGCCUGUACUAUGCUGACCCCCUCACCCACCUUCCUUCAGACAUGGCUUCUGUUUUAUCUCCAUGGCAACCUCUCUUAAGAUUCUGGAACACAAUAUCUCCACACGUAUUCCCUCCUGCUCUCCCUUCGCUCCAUAAGAAAUAGCUGUUGCAUCAGUAAGUUCCUGACCAUCUUGACCAUAAAGACAGAGAACUUUCAGAUAGCAUCAUGUGCCCUCUGCAGCCCAUUCCCCCUACCGCCACCAGACGCUAGGCACUGCAUGGGAACAGAAGAUAUAGACAGGAAAUGCCCAAGGAACCGUUCUCUGGAUAAGAAUCUGCCUACCGUUGAGUUUUCAAUAGAGGAGAAACAGUAAUGCCCUUUGGGUCUGGAUCUUUCUGUUUGAUACCAGGUAAAGCUGGGACACAGCGUUCUGUAUGUUUACUCUGUGCUGUUCCUUGUACUGCCUCACAGUACAGGCAAUCAUUAAGGUACAUGAAGACCAGGAACAAGCCUUGUCCUGACGCCAUAACCUCUCGGUGGAUCCGCACAUGAACUCACUUGGCUAAAGCAAGAAUUCCAAAAAGGCAGGUGUGCGAUUGCGCUAUGUCCUGCUUCAUUAGGAUUCCGAAGUCUUCCAGCUGCACGUGGGAUUACCUGUGGUUACUCUGGCAGGAUUUCUCUUCACCUUUGAGAACUUCUUAGAUGCAGGUUUGUAAUAUUGGGUAGUAAAUAAUUUUAUAAAGAUAUUCCAGAAAGUCAUCUCCUUUGAGUGCCCUUAGAACUACAUUUCCUUGGGGCUGGAGAGGUGGCUCUGGGCUUAGGAGCCUUUGCUGUUCUUCCAGAGGGCUGGGGUUUUGUUUCCAGCAUUCAUAUGGGGGCUAACAACCACCUAAAAUACCAGUUCCAGGGGAGCUAUUGUCUUUUGAUCUCUGUGAACACCAGAUAUGCCAUGUGGUAUAUGCACAUACACACAGGAAAACAUUUAGAAAUAAAUAAAAUCUAAAUUAUAAAAAAGAAAUCCUAUUUUUUCUGGAGUUUUUUUUUUUUUCCAAACCCACCAAAAUUGUCUUUUUUGCAUUCUGCAUUUAAUAAAACUCCCAGUCUUAAUGUUGUCAGAACACACCACAUGGAAGGCCUGUGACAAACUUGGAAGCAAAUGACUGCAGUGCAAACACAACUGAAGUCUCUGAGGAGGGGGCCGCUGACCUACACACCAAAGCAUCUACCAAGGCCCUGAACUGGCCACUAUGAUUGUAACUGCCUCAGCACUGAGGUAGUGACCUUCAAGACUGGAAUGAGCCUGGAGACAUUUGAUACUUUACUUUGAGAUUUUAAAGUUUAUGAACAGCCCACGGUCACACCAUUGACUACACAACUUUCACUGGACUACACCACUGGACUUUCACAACCACUGGACUACAACCUUUCCAGAGAUGAAAAUUUCAGAAGACCAAAGCUACCAAACAAGGCAGCACCCUUACCAAUUUUAGCUGGUGCUGAUGGUAGAAACCACCCGAUAUUUUUAAAUGGAAAUGAAAAUAUAGCCGAUUUGGUAAAAUCUGUGGUCAGAAAGUUAGGUCAUUGGAUAUCAAAUAGUUAUUUAUAGAGAAUUUUAUUAAACACACAAAAGAGAAGGUUGGUUAAGUUAUAAACAUUUCUAUCUACAGGACCAUUUCUCCUCUUGAAGUUUGUGGAGCUCAGAUGGCUCGUUGGCAGUAUUAAUUUCUUCCUGAAAUUCAUUUCUUCCAAGGAUAAUGAAAAUCUCAACCUUCACAUGUAGAAGGAAGAAAGCCCCGAGGCUGGGCUUCGUAUAUCACCACCCAUAUAUUCACGCUUUCUUUUUCAAAUGUAGAAUUCACUUGGCAAGAGAAAUAAUUCCAGAAAGGAAGGCUUGAGAUUGUGAUAUGUCCUGAAGCCUUCCAGCUUCAGAAUACUAAUCAGGUAACAAAUGAACAUAAGCAUGCACCCUAAAUUUGUAAGACAUCGACAUAAAGACAAGAGCAGUGGCUCUCAUGCAUUUUGUGGGGGAGCUAAAUUCUCAAGCUCAGAUGUUCUGUUGGACACUGACAUGGAAAUCUGCAUUGGUAUCCUUCGUCCCUGCAGGACAAGCCUCUCCUGGGAGCGAACUUCUCAGUCAGUCCUGCAGGUGUGUAUUUGUUUGAGUGUCCAAAGCAGUAAGGAACACCCCCAACCCAUCUAGGCAGUGACAUAGAAGGCAACUUCCAGACUGCUCUGCUUGGCAGACAAUCCAAUUUUAAACUCAGUAGAAGUUCAUGUGAUCUGUUAAAUGGGUCCAGUGGUCUUUUAUGUAUUAAGAGUUUGGGGGAAAUAUGGGCUAUGUAUAUUAAUAUACAUAGAAUAUACAUAGAAUAAAUAUCAGAUAGAAUUGCUUACUGCCUCUUCUGAUAUUCAGAUAAAGAUAACUUUGACUAGAGGGAGGGGAAGUCUAAUGAUGGAUGGAUCUAAAUUCACACCUGGUCAUUUUUAACUACCUGAGUUUUCUGGUUUUGUUUUGUUUUGUUUUGUUUUGUUUUGUUUACAGUCUGUUCCAGUUAGCUUUAACUCUCAAGUUGAAUCAGCCUAGUGUUACCUAAGAAGGGACUCUCAUUUGAAGGAAUGCCCAGAUCACAUUGUACUGUGAGCCUGACUACCGGAGACUCUCAUGAUUACUAUGGAUAUAGGAGGGUUCAGCCCCUGUCAGGUGGUCCUGUUUCAGAAAGCGAGCUAAGCUUUCUAAGUACAAGCCUGCAAUUGAGCUAGCAAGCAGAACUUCUCCAUGCCUCUACUUCUAGUGUUGGCUAGCUAGUCAGUUUGACACACAAACAAUUAGAGUUAUCUGAAAAGAGGGAACCUCAAUUGAGAAAAUGUCCCUAAGACCCAGCUGUAAGACAUUUUCUUAAUUAGCAAUUUAGGGAGGAGGUUCCAGCCCAUUGCGGGUGGCGCCAUCCCUAGGCUGAUGGUCCUGGGUUCCAUAAGAAAGCAGGCUGAGCAAGCCAGACGAAGCAAGCCAGUAAGCAGUACCCCUCCACAGCCUUUGCAUCAGCUCCUGCCUUCAGGUUCCUGCCCUGCUUGAGUUCUUGUCUUGAUCCUGACUUCCUUCAAUGAACAGCAAUAUGGAAGUAUAAGUCAAAUAAACAGUUUCCCACCCAGCUUGCUUUUUGGUCAUGGUGUUCUGGUGCAGCAAUAAAAAUCCUGACAAGGUAGAUCCCCACUUCGACUCCCCUUGGUGAUGGACUCUGACCUGUAAGGAUGAGUCAGAUAUAUCCUUUCCUCCUAGAAGUUGCAUUUGGUCAAAGCGUUUUACCACUGAGCAGAAAAGAAACUAGAACACAAGUCACCCAACUGAAUAGGGUGUAGAGGAAUUGAGCUAUGUGACCGCCACACAGGCUCAGGAGCAUAGACCCAAACUUGCUAUCAUGCCACUUCAUUUUGCCCCCUAGUAGUCUCAUUCAGUUGCAGUAAAGCUAUAUAAGCUGGGGGAGGGCAGAGAGAAAAAAAGAAACAGAAAAAAGAGAGAGAGAGAAAGACCCUAUAAACUAAAGCCUGUGAAUGAAUAAAAAACAGAACUGUUAGUAAUACCAUAUCUUGUAAAAUUUCACUGGGACACAAUCACACAACCAAGAGCAAGGGACCACUUUCAUUACAUUGUAAUCUUUUGCUAAAUAACGGUGUCAUUUCUACCUACGAGGGACAGAUCCAAAAUGACACACACCACAGGAAGUCGGGAAAGAAGCAGUUUCUAGACACUUUGACAGGUUGUGUAUGGACCAGCAACAAUACCCAGUGAGGAAGACUCAUUGGGAAACCGUGGGAUAUCACGUCACAAUGACAAGAAGCGUUGAUGGACUUCUCAUUACAUAAGGCAGAUUUGUAAGUUAUGAGAGGGGGGAGCUUUGCAGAUUGUGGCAAAGAGAGCGUA